GACGAACGCUGGCGGCGUGCCUAAUACAUGCAAGUAGAACGCUGAAGAGAGGAGCUUGCUCUUCUUGGAUGAGUUGCGAACGGGUGAGUAACGCGUAGGUAACCUGCCUUGUAGCGGGGGAUAACUAUUGGAAACGAUAGCUAAUACCGCAUAACAAUGGAUGACACAUGUCAUUUAUUUGAAAGGGGCAAUUGCUCCACUACAAGAUGGACCUGCGUUGUAUUAGCUAGUAGGUGGGGUAAUGGCUCACCUAGGCGACGAUACAUAGCCGACCUGAGAGGGUGAGCGGCCACACUGGGACUGAGACACGGCCCAGACUCCUACGGGGGGCAGCAGUAGGGAAUCUUCGGCAAUGGGGGCAACCCUGACCGAGCAACGCCGCGUGAGUGAAGAAGGUUUUCGGAUCGUAAAGCUCUGUUGUAAGUCAAGAACGGGUGUGAGAGUGGAAAGUUCACACUGUGACGGUAGCUUACCAGAAAGGGACGGCUAACUACGUG
rnacentral:rRNA from 1 species